GUUCAAACACCCGUUCCCGUACAAUCACCAAAGUUAAGAAACGUCGAGCCUGAUCAGUGACCUGAUGGGUGACCUCUUGGGAAUACCAGGUACUGUAAG